UCCGUUAUGGUGUAGUGGCUAACAUUAUCGCCUCUCAUUUGUUAUGCGCGAUAGCCCAGGGUUCGAUUCCCUGUAACGGAA
rnacentral:tRNA from 1 species